CAGUAAAAGUGCUUUGCCUCUCUGUCUAGGUGGUAGGUCAAAAGCAAGCAGGCGGGGUUUGAAGGCCAAAAGUUAAUGUCUUCCUUUGGGAGGAAAUAUUCUGUUUAAUUUAAGAGAUUAACACGUUCUCUCAGAAAGCAGUGUUUCCUUCUACUACUGUCACUUAAUCAAAUUUACCCAGAACUCCACCUAGAUGAGCCUGCCCAGCAUAAAACCUGAACCCAGCUCAGUUGGCCGGGUGUGGGUUUUGUCAGAGGAGGCCACUGAGCUAGUCCGUGCUGCAUCUUCACCACCUGGAAACUGCAGUGCCCUCAACCCAGGGGCAGCAAUGUCUACGCCUCUUCGAAAACAGCUAUGCCGAGAGGGAGGGAUGCACCGAGGCCGUUUUCCUGUGUCUGCUCUAUCUACUGGCUGCUCCCUUUCCGUGCUUCCAGAGAGGAGAAGGGAAGAAUGUCGUAGCCUGGAAAAUCUUGAAAUGUAUUCAGUGGCCAUACACAUUUGCUUCAUCUGCCUCCGGGAGAUAAUCGACAUGAGGCAGGGAAAAGAAAUGAGCUGUAUCGAUAGGUUACAAAACUGAAAAACAUUUUCCUGCUGAAAGACACGGGAACUAAACUUGCUUUCGGGGGAAACUGUGCUGCCAGUGACCUCCCCCAACCCGUGCACCAGUCCCUUCGAACCCAGGAGUGGGAAGUUCUCAGCCUGUGUGCAGGUUCUAAUGUUUAUUUCACAGCUGAAAGUGAUGUGCAAUUUAGCAUCAUUUAGCAAUGUGCAUUUAUGAUCACAGCAACACAAACUGUGUUACUUCUCCAACAUUUCGAGGCUGGUUCUAAAGGUAAUUCUUGUCGCUUCACUCAAAGGAAGAAAAAACUGAGCAAGUCUUCUAUCUGUGCAGGAAAAACCCUCUGGACAGGCCUGUGGUCAAACUGGACGGCCGUCGACAUAGCAAGUAUCUGAGUCACCGGCAACUCAGGAAACGCUGCAGACGUCCGUGUUCGGUGGCCACCACCUCACGCAAGAUGUCAGGCCGGUCCUGCGUGCUCCUGGGAGCUGGUCUUCGGCUCUGCUUUGUGACACCAAACCAAGGGCCUUCGGUCUUCAGCUGAUGGUGGAGAAAGGACUCUACUCUCCAAUGAAGAAGUUGCACUUGAGACAGAAGGCCGCCGGCCCAGACAGAGCACACAUGGAACUCAGGCCCGACCGGCCCUGCCCUGCUGUCUUGUGGGGCGCACUUGGUGGGAGCUCACGUCUCUCAGGGUCACACCAGGCCUCGUGGGGUUUGGCCUUCUGCAGCCCAGGGGCAUCUUAAAGCAUCCCUCCCCUAUUUUCCAUACUCUUUUGAGUGCCUGGAGGCUCCUGGAUCUAAACUCUUAAUUUGUUCUAAGUAAUUACAUUAGAGAAUUGACCGUUGUUCAGAGCAGUGAAAAUGAA